UACGUAGGGUGCAAGCGUUGUCCGGAAUUAUUGGGCGUAAAGAGCUCGUAGGCGGCUUGUCGCGUCGGCUGUGAAAACCUGGGGCUCAACCCCGGGCCUGCAGCCGAUACGGGCAAGCUAGAAUUCGGUAGGGGAGACUGGAAUUCCUGGUGUAGCGGUGAAAUGCGCAGAUAUCAGGAGGAGCACCGGUGGCGAAGGCGGGUCUCUGGGCCGAUAUUGACGCUGAGGAGCGAAAGCGUGGGGAGCGAACAGG
rnacentral:rRNA from 1 species